CUCAGCCGCUUGGGGCCCGCACGGACCCUCUACUUCAGUGUAGAAUGAGCCAAGGAGACUCAAACCCAGCAGCUAUUCCGCAUGCAGCAGAAGAUAUUCAAGGAGAUGACCGAUGGAUGUCUCAGCACAACAGAUUUGUUUUGGACUGUAAAGACAAAGAGCCUGAUGUACUGUUCGUGGGAGACUCCAUGGUGCAGUUAAUGCAGCAAUAUGAGAUAUGGCGAGAGCUUUUUUCCCCACUUCAUGCACUGAAUUUUGGAAUUGGGGGAGAUACAACAAGACAUGUUUUGUGGAGACUAAAGAAUGGAGAACUGGAGAAUAUUAAGCCUAAGGUCAUUGUUGUCUGGGUAGGAACAAAUAACCACGAAAAUACAGCAGAAGAAGUAGCAGGUGGGAUCGAGGCCAUUGUACAACUUAUCAACACAAGGCAGCCACAGGCCAAAAUCAUUGUAUUGGUAUGUAGUCUUUGGUGGGUAGAGAGUUCGUUAUCUUUAGGUCAGCUGAGGAAUCUUUUUAGAAAUGUGAUUGCUCAUGAAUAUUAGAGAACCUUGAGGUGGAAGCAGUUUAUCAUACUUUCGUUGACCUCUUCUUUAAUGUAUUUUACUGUCUUACUGGUUUCAUCAUUCCCCAUACCAGCUGUGGGGCCAUCUUUUAUCCACGCAUCCUUGUUUAGAAGUAUGGAAGC
rnacentral:sRNA from 1 species